AUGAAAUCUUUAAAUAAUCAUUUGAAUUAGUCAACAAUUCAUUAUAAUUGGAAUUAAAUACACAAACGUGCCAUUGAAUGUGUCAUUUAAUGUAAAAGUAAAUUUAAUUAUUUGAAUCAUUUAAUUAUUUCAAAAUUGAAUAGAUGAGUUUCCGUUCGCUAAGGAGUAUGGGUAAUCCUGGCGGCAGCCUCCAUUUUGUGUGUUUUAAUUAACUUUCUAAAUAUUUUUCGCGCUUUUGCCAAGACAAUGAGGUCAACUUCAGAAAAUUUGAAAGAGGACGUGAAAUUGUUCUACAGACAGACAGAUGGGGUUUGCAAAGCCAGGUAUUUACCGAAAUUGAAGGAUAUCGGCGAUGAAAAUCCGUAUGAGAUGGGAACAUACGAAUGGACGACUGAUUUGGAAUCUUACCCUGAUAUAAAUUACCCGGACAUCGUCAACUAUUUGGUGAGAAAUUAAUCUGGCUUCAAAGGAAGAUAAAGUGAUCCAAGUUUGGUGCCAUGGGUCAUAGAGAAGAACGGCCGUGUUUCAGUUACACAAGAACACAUCAUACUGACUACUUCUAAGACCAUGGCAAAAUGCAAUUCUACAGGAAGAUUUUGUCAUGACCCGAGAUCUACAAAGUGGAGAGGAUGCAGGGCCUGACUCCCCUCCAGGCACCUUUUCUUUGAACUGUUUUGUGACCAAAGGCAGCGGCUGUUUACGACCCCCUUCCUUUAGAAACAGCUGUUGCCAUGUAAUCAGGGAAAGUCCAAAUAAAAGAGGAGGCAUAAAAUCUUUCGUCAGAGCGUGGUGGGACUGUACAAAGAGUACAGUCCAGAUGUUUCUCCUCAAUUGAGCCAAAUUGAAUGUUGUCUCUGUUUAAUUCCUUGCUUCUUGUCUUGUUUAAUAGAUGUCAUCAGUGUUUGAACCUGACAAAGACGGAACGAAAUUUGUACUUCCGGUUCAAGGCACCAAACAUUAGACGUUAAACCCGCAGCACCUGCAGU